AACAAAAGUGGGACGACACAUUGAAAAUUGAUAGCACUUAGAUGUCACCAUCUCGAUAUAUUUUUCCCGGAAUAUCCGCGCGCACACGUGCAACGACUCCCAAAAAAUUAAUCCCGAAAUGUAUAGGACGGCGGUUGCGCUCUGUAUUCCUCUUGUAAAGGGGAGAGAAGAAUGAGACGUGUAUUCAUCUUCGGAGCUGAGAGCGUUGUAAAUGCACGGUGGCAUUAUGGAGGUUUCGUGGAAGCGAAAUGGGAGCAGGCGAGAGGGCAGCAGAGAGGAGAGGGUUCGUAAAGACCGCGCUGCAUCGAACCGCAUGCGAUACGAAGAAAUCGAAAUUUUCCUGGAACUUUGCCUCCUCCGUGGAGCAUCCUCCCCCGGCCCUUCCUCUCGGCGCGGCGCGCACGUGUCCGCAAACAUGCGUGAUGCACUAUACUCCCGGCAACGUCAUUUCUACGGAAGUUUGAGGGAAGCAAAUUGCUUUAUUCACGCAAAAUGAAAUUUUUAUCUGACAAUAAUAACGAUGACGUUAUCGUGCGAAAGUUUUAUUUACUAUAAUGACGAAUAUGUAUCCACCUCGGAAGUUCUUAAUAUGCAACCGAUAUAUGUAUUUUAAAAGCGAAAUAAAUUGAUUUUUCGAUUGAA